rnacentral:rRNA from 1 species
AUGAGUCACAUAGUUCCGUUCUCUAGGUUUGGUUUUUUAUUUCACUGCUUCUCUGUAUGUUCUCUGCUCUGCAAUCUAAUUCAUUGUCAAGGUAUUUGUGUUCCAGUUACAUAUAUCUGUUGUGUAAUCAGUUGGUGGGAGCUAGAACUAGUUUGUGUUAUCCCAACAUUUUUUUCAGUGUCACCAGUCACCACCUGCACAUGUGAAGUCCUGCACAACUUACUGGAGAGAGAGAACCUUGUGAAGGUUUGCUGGGACAUCCUGCUUUACCUUUGCCAAAAUAUUUCUACUUGUGGCACUGUCUGA